GACGAACGCUGGCGGCGUGCUUAACACAUGCAAGUCGAACGGAAAGGCCCUGCUUUUGUGGGGUGCUCGAGUGGCGAACGGGUGAGUAACACGUGAGUAACCUGCCCUUGACUUUGGGAUAACUUCAGGAAACUGGGGCUAAUACCGGAUAGGAGCUCCUGCUGCAUGGUGGGGGUUGGAAAGUUUCGGCGGUUGGGGAUGGACUCGCGGCUUAUCAGCUUGUUGGUGGGGUAGUGGCUUACCAAGGCUUUGACGGGUAGCCGGCCUGAGAGGGUGACCGGCCACAUUGGGGCUGAGAUACGGCCCAGACUCCUACGGGAGGCAGCAGUGGGGAAUAUUGCACAAUGGGCGGAAGCCUGAUGCAGCAACGCCGCGUGCGGGAUGACGGUCUUCGGGUUGUAAACCGCUUUCGCCUGUGACGAAGCGUGAGUGACGGUAAUGGGUAAAGAAGCACCGGCUAAGUACGUG
rnacentral:rRNA from 1 species